rnacentral:rRNA from 1 species
UACGAAGGGGGCUAGCGUUGUUCGGAAUUACUGGGCGUAAAGCGCGCGCAGGUGGUCUUUCAAGUCAGUGGUGAAAGCCCGGAGCUCAACUCCGGAAAUGCCAUUGAAACUGUAAGACUUGAGGAUGAGAGAGGUGAGUGGAAUUCCCAGUGUAGAGGUGAAAUUCGUAGAUAUUGGGAAGAACACCGGUGGCGAAGGCGGCUCGCUGGCUCAUAUCUGACGCUCAGGCGCGACAGCGUGGGGAUCAAACAGG